UGGGAUGUGGCUCAAGUGGUAGCGCGCUCGCCUGGCAUAUGUGCGGCCUGGGUUUGAUCCCCAGCAUUACAU
rnacentral:tRNA from 1 species